rnacentral:rRNA from 1 species
AUACGGAGGGUGCAAGCGUUGUCCGGAAUUACUGGGCGUAAAGAGCUCGUAGGCGGCUCAGCAAGUCGGUCGUGAAAGCCCGAGGCUCAACCUCGGAACUGCGGUCGAUACUGCUGUGGCUAGAGUCCGGUAGAGGAGAGUGGAAUUCCCGGUGUAGCGGUGGAAUGCGCAGAUAUCGGGAGGAACACCAGUGGCGAAGGCGGCUCUCUGGGCCGGUACUGACGCUGAGGAGCGAAAGCGUGGGGAGCAAACAGGAUUAGAAACCCUAGUAGUCC